UUUUUUUUUUUUACUAGAAACGUAGUAAGUUUGGUUUUCACAUUGUAACUGUGCUCCACAUCAAGCAGCUCAGUGCCGAUGAUGUAAAAUAAACCAAAUAUUCUCUUUAGGUUUAUUGAGUAAAAAGGUCCAGGGUUAUUCAGAGUCUGGAAGCCAUAAAGUACAAGCAGGACAUAAAUUCACCACAAAACAGUUUGAUUGUCCAUGUAGCCCAGCUGGGCCACAUGGUGCUUUACUCUCUCAAAACAUGGAGGUGUAGAACGAACUGUUGUGGGACACUCUGCAGUGGAGAUGCCCUGAAAUUACAGCAAGAUGGAGCGGAGCCGAACCGCUGACAGCAGGAAUCACAGUACAUUAGCAGAGCCUCCAACUGCCACACACACACACCUACACACACCUACACACACACACACCUACACACACCUACACACACACGUCAUGUUUUUGUAUCUUGUGGGGACUUUCUAUUGACUUCCAUUCACUUUCUACAGGCUAACACUUACCCUAACCAUUACAUGCUUAACCCCUAACCCUCAUCAAAACUCAAUUUGCACCUUAAUCCUAAACUUAAUCCCUACCCCAAAAACAGCGUUUCCCCUCAUGUGGACCAAGAAAUGUCCCCACAAGAAGCAGUGUCCCGACCACCCCACAUUUAGACAGCCUUAGGUCCCCACAAAGAUAUAAAAACCGGGUUCACGCACACACACACACUCCCAUCCACACACACACACACACACACACACACACACACACACACACACCAGAAUCUGGAUGAAUUGUUAACACGUUGUCUGACCAUCACCCUCUCAUUUCUCCUCUUUCAAGCGGGAAAGCGGCGCCCCUGAAAAAGUUAGCAGGCAGGUGGAAGUCCUGCGUUUGGCUCGCAGGUUGCCGUGGCGACCUCCCAGCUUUGCAUGUUUGGAAAUUGCCACCAGGAGCGACUAAAACGCUCCCAUCUGCAAACUCGGGAGAGACCUGAGAUCAAUUUUGUUGCGUUUACUGCAGAGAGGCUCACAAUGGGAGUUCGCUGAAGAUCACUUUCCAGUUGGACGUGAUGAGCGGAGGAGCAGGAGGGCGACGCGUUCGCACGUCCCGCAGCCUCAUCUCUGUGUAACGAGCAGGUAAUUGAUGCCGGCCUCCUCUUCCUCCUCUUCCUCCUCUUCCUCGUCUAACGCUGUGCAGCCACUAGAUGGAGCAUGAUAACCACAGAGAGGCUCUCCCGGUGGGACCCCGACCCCCGACCCCGCCCCGGAUCCGGUGGGUGCUGCGGCUCCCUGCGGAGGCUUCCAAGAGUGACCUUUGAUCCCGCAGCAUGUGUGGUAUGCUGAGCCGCCUGCGCGCCGCUCUGAUCCUGGGAAGCAAUCACCGAGCGCGCCGCUAUCAGAGGAAAAGGAGAAACACUCUAUAAGCCCGAGUGUGGAGGUGAGCGCCGAGCGAAAAGCAAAUGUGCAGGGAUGGAAAAAAUAACCAAGUGCAGCCAACCACGCAGAAGGCUGAUGGGCCAGAGCGGCGCGUGAUAAAGCCGCGGAGUAGCAGUCUUCCUCGCAGAAACAGCUGCUCCAGCUACAACAACAAACUUUAAGUGAGCCAAAAUGAGACGGGCGAUCCAGAGUGCUGUGGGAAAGCCUGUAAAUGUUAUGUGUUUUGAAAAUGGUUCCGAUAAUCUCUCCCCUAAUCUCUUAAUUGGGAGUCAAUGUAGUCUCCUGCGAGCGCACAAAGCCGGAGCCGGAGAGGAUCUCUUGGAGCGAAGCGCCUACACCUGGGCGACAAGGCCGCCUUUCACUGCGCCGAGGACGCUUUCAGGAAAGUCCUUGGCUGUGAACGUUCCCAUGUUAAAAGCACUACCUAUUAAGGUACAUCUGAGAGAGAUGUAUUUCCGCACGCUGUUUGAAGAUUUCCCAUUUGCAUGAGAAAAAAAAACGUGGGUCUGUGUAAAACUGUAACUUGUGAACUGAUCAAAAGCCAGAGGCCGUUCUGGAGCUGAAUGGCUUUCCCCCUUUGACACGAAAGAGGCUCUCUUGAGGCGCCUUCGCGGCGGUGGCCUUGGAGGUUAGCAAAAUGUCGCCCCCCACACCAAACGGGCUAUUCUCUGGAGUCCGGACAGCACUUGAGGAGAAAAGAGACGGUUUGCCGCUGCGGAUCAAGCCCCUCUCACAUUCCAGAAGAGGCUUUUCCUCGUCCCACAGACGGCCUUUGGAAAGUGGAUGUGCAGCAGCUAAGCACGCCAAACGAGGCUGGUUUUCAUAUGCUAAUAUUAUUGGUUAAAAGGGAUUUUAAAUGUAUAAGAAUGUUGUAUUGUGGUUAUCUUGUGUAAAUAUUACACGGUUAUCAAUAUUGCUGUUUUCUUUUAAAUGAAAAUACACAAAAACAUAAAAUUUUACAAAG